rnacentral:rRNA from 1 species
UACGUAGGGUGCAAGCGUUGUCCGGAAUUAUUGGUCGUAAAGAGCUCGUAGGCGGUUUGUCGCGUCGAAUGUGAAAACCCGGGGCUCAACCCCGGGCCUGCAUUCGAUACGGGCAGACUAGAGUUCGGUAGGGGAGUCUGGAAUUCCUGGUGUAGCGGUGAAAUGCGCAGAUAUCAGGAGGAACACCGGUGGCGAAGGCGGGACUCUGGGCCGAUACUGACGCUGAGGAGCGAAAGCGUGGGGAGCAAACAGG